GAGGCCACACCCCAAAUCGGAAGUGACGGAGACGAGCUAGCGCGUCGGAUACCUCUAUGGUUUUCCUCCCGUUCUUGAGUCGGGAAAUGGCCGCAGUGUAGUUACGACGAAGAUAAGUCCCGGGAACGGUGCUUUGGCGUGUCAGGAAUUGUAAUUUAGAGUUUAGCUUCUCAGAAAAUUUGCUCCAGGAAGAAUUUUUCAGUAUUUCAAAGACUUCACUUGACUGCUUAAUCCUGCAUAAAACCCAAGGAGAAAAGAAAUGGGUCGCUCCAAUUCUAGAUCACAUUCUUCAAGAUCAAAGUCUAGAUCACAGUCUAGUUCUCGAUCAAGGUCAAGGUCACAUUCUAGAAAGAAGAGAUACAGUUCUAGGUCUCGUUCCAGGACGUAUUCAAGAUCUCGUAGUAGAGAUCGUAUUUAUUCUAGAGAUUAUCGGCGAGAUUACAGAAAUAAUAGAGGAAUGAGACGACCUUAUGGGUACAGAGGAAGGGGUAGAGGGUAUUACCAAGGUGGAGGAGGUAGAUAUCAUCGAGGUGGCUAUAGACCUGUCUGGAAUAGAAGACACUCUAGGAGCCCUAGACGAGGUCGUUCACGUUCCAGGAGUCCAAAAAGAAGAUCCGUUUCUUCUCAAAGAUCCCGAAGCAGAUCUCGCCGGUCAUAUAGAUCCUCUAGGUCUCCAAGAUCAUCCUCUUCUCGCUCUUCAUCCCCAUAUAGCAAAUCUCCUGUCUCUAAAAGACGAGGGUCUCAGGAAAAACAAACCAAAAAGUCUGAAGGGGAGCCCCAAGGAGAGAGUCCUUUGAAAAAUAAAUCACAGGAGGAACCGAAAGAUACAUUUGAACAUGACCCAUCUGAAUCCAUUGAUGAGUUUAAUAAAUCAUCAGCUACAUCUGGUGAUAUUUGGCCUGGUCUUUCAGCCUAUGAUAAUAGCCCCAGGUCACCCCAUAGUCCUUCACCGAUUGCUACACCACCUAGUCAGAGUUCAUCUUGCUCUGAUGCGCCUAUGCUCAGCACAGUCCACUCUGCAAAAAAUACCCCCUCUCAGCAUUCACAUUCCAUUCAGCAUAGUCCUGAAAGGUCCGGGUCUGGUUCUGUUGGAAAUGGAUCUAGUCGAUAUAGUCCUUCUCAGAAUAGUCCAAUUCAUCACAUCCCUUCACGAAGAAGCCCUGCAAAGACAAUCACACCACAGAAUGCUUCAAGAGAUGAGGCUAGGGGACGUUCCUCAUUUUAUCCUGAUGGUGGAGAUCAGGAAACUGCAAAGACAGGAAAAUUCCUAAAAAGGUUCACAGAUGAAGAGUCUAGAGUAUUCCUGCUUGAUAGGGGUAAUACCAGGGAUAAAGAGGCUCCAAAGGAGAAAGGAUCAGAAAAAGGCAGGGCAGAGGGAGAAUGGGACGAUCAGGAAGCUCUAGAUUACUUUAGUGAUAAAGAAUCUGGAAAACAAAAGUUUAAUGAUUCAGAAGGGGAUGACACAGAGGAGACAGAGGAUUAUAGACAGUUCAGGAAGUCAGUCCUUGCAGAUCAGGGUAAAAGUUUUACUACUACAUCUCACCGGAAUACUGAGGAGGAAGGACCCAAGUACAAGUCCAAAGUUUCACUGAAAGGCAAUAGAGAAAGUGAUGGAUUUAGAGAAGAAAAAAAUUAUAAACUUAAAGACACUGGAUAUGUAGUGGAAAGGCCUAGCACUACAAAAGAUAAGCACAAGGAAGACGACAAAAAUUCUGAGAGAAUAACAGUAAAGAAAGAAACUCAAUCACCUGAGCAGGUAAAGUCUGAAAAGCUCAAAGACCUCUUUGAUUACAGUCCCCCUCUACACAAGAAUCUGGAUGCACGAGAAAAGACUACCUUCAGAGAGGAGAGCCCUCUUAGGAUCAAAAUGAUAGCCAGUGAUUCUCAUCGUCCUGAAGUCAAACUCAAAAUGGCACCUGUUCCUCUUGAUGAUUCUAACAGACCUGCUUCCUUGACUAAAGACAGGCUUCUUGCUAGCACACUUGUCCAUUCUGUGAAGAAGGAGCAAGAAUUCCGAUCCAUCUUUGACCACAUUAAGUUGCCACAGGCCAGCAAAAGCACUUCAGAGUCAUUUAUUCAACACAUUGUCUCCUUGGUUCAUCAUGUUAAAGAGCAAUACUUCAAAUCAGCUGCAGUGACCCUAAACGAGAGGUUCACUUCGUAUCAGAAAGCCACUGAAGAACAUAGUACCCGGCAAAAGAGCCCUGAGAUACACAGGAGAAUCGACAUCUCUCCAAGUGCCCUGAGGAAGCAUACCCGUUUAGCAGGGGAAGAGAGAGUUUUUAAAGAAGAAAAUCAAAAGGGAGAUAAAAAAUUAAGGUGUGAUACUGCUGAUCUUCGGCAUGACAUUGAUCGUCGGAGAAAAGAAAGAAGUAAAGAACGGGGCGAUUCCAAGGGCUCCAGGGAAUCCAGUGGGUCAAGAAAGCAGGAAAAAACUCCAAAAGAUUACAAGGAAUACAAAUCUUACAAAGAUGACAGCAAAAAUGUAUUUGUCUUUUACACGGCUUAUGGUGGAUGAGGACAAAAACUUUGGAAUAGCAAGCUAACACUGAAAAAAAAAAUGACAAAUUAAUGUGUCCUAUUAUCCAGGCUACAUCAGGAGGUUGGACUUCAAUGCAGUGCAUUUCUAGAAACAGUUUGUUAAACAUAAAAGUAGAGAGCAAGAUCAUUCUCGAUCUUCAUCCUCUUCAGCAUCACCUUCUUCUCCUAGUUCUCGUGAAGAAAAGGAGAGUAAGAAGGAAAGAGAAGAAGAAUUUAAAACUCACCAUGAAAUGAAAGAAUACUCAGGCUUUGCAGGAGUUAGCCGACCACGAGGAACCUUUUUUCGAAUUAGAGGCAGAGGAAGAGCCAGAGGAGUUUUUGCUGGGACAAAUACUGGUCCAAACAACUCAAAUACUACUUUUCAAAAGAGACCGAAGGAAGAGGAAUGGGAUCCAGAAUAUACCCCAAAGAGCAAGAAGUACUUCUUGCAUGAUGACAGAGAUGAUGGUGUGGACUAUUGGGCCAAAAGAGGAAGAGGUCGUGGUACUUUUCAACGUGGCAGAGGGCGCUUUAACUUCAAAAAAUCAGGUAGCAGUCCAAAAUGGACUCAUGACAAAUACCAAGGGGACGGGAUUGUUGAAGAUGAAGAAGAGACCAUGGAAAAUAAUGAAGAAAAGAAGGACAGACGCAAAGAAGAAAAGGAAUAGUAAAUCUGAAGUGAGAUUGCAACAGAGAGCAGAACUUGCACCCACCAUUUUUUUACCUGAUUUUUGUUUUCGAUAAGAAUGUAAGCAUUUUACUUAAAUUUUACUGUUUGCAAGUAGUCUAUAGAAAUUUUGUUUUAAGUCUUCAAAUAUCUUGAAAAAUAGUAGAUUGUAUGUUGAAAAUUGUACUGAAAUAAAGUAGAAAAUUGUUACGUACCAUAUUUGUAACUACCAACUUUUAAAAAAAAUACUUUUACUGUUUUUGUUACAUGCAUUGUAAUUCUGCUUUGUCUAUAAGAUAUGGUCAAGUACAACUCUGUGAAAGUUCUGAUUCUCUUCUUUCCCUGUUUGUUAAUGUUUAUUCUGAAGUAAACGUUAGCUCUACAUACAAAUCCCGGAACAGAAAUUGUUUAUAGAGACUGCACUAAUCAUUUUAACUCCAUACACCUGCUUAACAUUUUCCUUAAUUCAAACACACUACAUUGUAGGGUGGCUAAUUUUUGAAAUGUACCACAGAAAAAGUUGUUACUUGGGUAAACUAAGCUAGCUUAACACUUCUGCAACUGUUUAAGAAGAAGAAGCUUUGCGAGGAGCUAAGAAAUACAAGCUAUUAAAAGUUAGAUUGAAAAGUAUGAGAAAUUUUUUUUAAUUUUUUUUUUACUGAAAGCAAGCAGUGGCCUAUAAAAAACAUUCUUAGGAGCCUUUACUAUUUUGGUUUAAAAUUCAGUGUUCUCUUUCUAUUAUUUGAACAUUUGAGUCAUGGUCUUAAGAUAGCAGCUAUUCUUUGACAGAGGAAACUGGUUUGUAAUAAUACUGCAAAUAAAAACCCCAUUCUUAUCGACCAUCUUAUUUUUAACAUCAAAACAACAAACCUGUAAUUGUGAUGUUGAUACGGAAGAGGAUUAGCCUGAAGAAUAACUUGAUACAUUAAAAAGAUGUAUCUUAUUUCAUCUUACAUGUUUAUUUGAGCUUUUGGACAACUGAAAUAUUUUUAUUAUAGUCUAACCAUAAGGAAAAAAUAGGUGCAUAGAGCAUACUGUUCAUUAGUAUUUUAAGUAACUUGUUUUUCAGAUGUCACCAAUAAAAAGUUUUUGACAGGAAGUUGGUUGCAGCAUUCAUCCAACUUGAUUUUUAUUUUUUUCCCCUCGAUUUUAUUUGCAGUUUUUUCUUCCCAAGGGGUCUAUUUUUUAGGUAGAUAAUCUUUAAAAUGUGAAUUACAUUUAUGUUUAUGCUGAAAGUUCUUAAAGGAAUGAAAAUCUAAAAUAGUAAAUUUCAAUGUUAAGUCUGUCUGCUUUAUGAGCAUAUAUUGGGUUGUCGGAAAAGUCAUGACGCAUUUUUGCAACGAAAAACAAAAAAUACGCCAUAACUUUUCCGACAACCCAAUAUAAAAGUAGUCAAAUUACAUUUGUUAAUUCACCAGUUGAAUUAGUUGUAUAUGUUUGCAUUACAAAGAGAUAAAGCUCUCAGUGUACACUUUUAAAGAUCUUAACUGUAUGACCCUUUCAUCCUCACUUGAUGAUUUGCAAUCCUUCUAGCACCUUGAUUGCAGCCAGGGGCACUUGCUAAGAGCUAUUGGGAAAAAAAUCCUCAAUAUAUGUGAUGUUUAUGGCGCUAAGAUCCUUAGUAUUGCAUGAUUUCUCCUAUUAAUCCUGUCGUUCUGAAACUCUGUUACAGCAGAGGAAGUACUACCAAAGCAAGUAUGUGUUGGAUUAAUCAGGACAUAACUAAUAUUCUCCCAGUUAGAAUAAUUGCAGGCUAAAGCAACAUGGAUUUGAUAUCCAAUACAGGAGAAUUUUCAUGACCAUUUUAUUUUAUACAAAUAAAUUUAGUUUUUAUUUUUAAUAGUUAUUUGGUUAAACACUGAACCUGUAUGCGUGACUAUAAAUGUGUGAUUUUGCUUUUCCACUUAAGACAAUAGGAAAAAGGGAAUUUACUGAGAAAUUAUUUAAUAGGGAGUGGGAAUAAAGCUACCUAAGUCCUAUCAGCAGGUUAUAUUUUAAGUGUAAGUGGAUUGCUUUAACUCAAAUAUACAUAGGAUUUGGUUACUUUUAUUCUCUUAAACAAAAUUGAGGAGAUAGUAGUAUCAUAGCAGAAUAUAGUAGUAGUAAGCAGUAGGAAGCAGGAUGAUUGUAGAUAUUAUCUUUUUUCAGAGCCACGCAUAUAAAAAGUAGCCUGUGUGUAUUUUUUUAAACCACAGUUUAGCUCCACACUUUGUGACAUGUUAUAAAAGUUGAGUGGUUUCUCUUCGUAAGGAUAUUUGUUAUAAGUGCCAGAAAAUAAUAACUCUUUGAUAUCUGCAUUAACAGAUUCCUUUUGUCUAGAGAAGGAAAAUAAAAAUGAACCAAAGGGUAUUUCCAGAACAGAUAGCUGUUUGAGAAGGCCAUGACUCCGUCUUUAGGUGUGUGUACCUUUCAACAUCAUAUCAUUUUAAUGUAAAAAGCAAAAUAUGUUUUUCCAGUUAUAGCCUACUUUAAGGAAUAACAGUUGUUCCCUUUUGUCACAAUUAAAAAUCAAGUGUUGGGAAUUAUAAGUUAUAAUUUGAAAAAAAAAUACUACCCAAUAAGAAUGAAUGUAGAUGGCUCAACGAUUCUUACUCAGUGUGAUGUAUAAAUGCAACAGGGACCCUUGUAAAUUGUCAUAUGCCAAUAAAAUGUCAUAAGUGGUAA